GGAUGCGACCAUUCUAGCACUACUGCACCAGAUCCCAUCAGAACUCUGUAGUUAAGUGUGCUUGGGCGAGGGUAGUACUGGGAUGGGUGACCACCUAGAAAGUUCUCGUGUUGCACCUU